CAGGCCUAACACAUGCAAGUCGAACGAUCCUUAAGUGGCUUGCCAUUUAAGGGGAGUGGCGAACGGGUGAGUAACACGUGAGUAAUCUACCCUUGAGUGCGGAAUAACUUCGCGAAAGCGGCGCUAAUACCGCAUAAUACUCUAAAGCACACGCUUUUAGAGUCAAAGCCUUCGGGCGCUUGAGGAUGAGCUUGCGCCAUAUUAGCUUGUUGGUGGGGUAAUGGCCUACCAAGGUUAUGAUGUGUAGCCGGCCUGAGAGGGUGUACGGCCACACUGGAACUGCGACACGGUCCAGACUCCUACGGGAGGCAGCAGUGGGGAAUUUUGCGCAAUGGGCGAAAGCCUGACGCAGCGACGCCGCGUGGAGGAUGACGGCCUUCGGGUUGUAAACUCCUGUCAGAGGUGAAGAAAACCCUUCGGGGUACUGACGGUAACCUCAGAGGAAGCCCCGGCUAACUACGUGCCAGCAGCCGCGGUAAU
rnacentral:rRNA from 1 species